rnacentral:sRNA from 1 species
GGGCUGUGCUGGGGGUUCCAGGAAGACUUCCUGGAGGAGGGGAUCUUGGAGCUAGGCCUUGAAGACGAGUUUGUCAAAUGAGGAAGGGCAUCCGAAGCCGAGGGAACGGCAGGAGGGAACGCUGGGGAGGGGAGACAAUCUGGAGAGUUCCAGAAAAAGCAAAUUGUGCACUCGCCGGAGCAGCGGCCCACCAGCCCCCGGCUCCGGCGCCACCAUCUUCGCGCUAAGCUCUGGCCAAGGCCGCUGCGGCAUCGCGGUGAUCCGGACCAGCGGCUCCGCCAGCGGCCACGCCCUCCGAAUUCUCACGGCACCCCGAGACCUGCCCCCUGCUCGCCACGCCAGCGUGCGCCUCCUCAGAGACCCCCGCUCCGGGGAGCCUCUGGACCGCGCACUGGUACUCUGGUUCCCAGGUCCCCAGAGUUUCACUGGUGAGGACUGCGUGGAGUUCCACGUGCAUGGAGGCCCGGCAGUGGUGAGCGGCGUCCUGCAGGCCUUGGGCAGCGUGCCAGGGCUUCGACCGGCGGAGGCAGGCGAGUUCACCAGGCGGGCGUUCGCCAAUGGGAAGCUGAACCUGACCGAAGUGGAGGGGCUGGCGGACCUUAUCCACGCAGAAACCGAGGCGCAGCGGCGGCAGGCCCUCAGGCAGCUGGACGGGGAGCUGGGCCACCUCUGCCGUGG